UACGGGGGGGCAAGCGUUGUUCGGAAUUACUGGGCGUAAAGGGCUCGUAGGCGGCCAACUAAGUCAGACGUGAAAUCCCUCGGCUUAACCGGGGAACUGCGUCUGAUACUGGAUGGCUUGAGUUUGGGAGAGGGAUGCGGAAUUCCAGGUGUAGCGGUGAAAUGCGUAGAUAUCUGGAGGAACACCGGUGGCGAAGGCGGCACCCUGGACCGGCA
rnacentral:rRNA from 1 species